rnacentral:misc_RNA from 1 species
GUGUGUACCCAAUAUUUUAUGAGGACAUCUUUGUAUACUGGGUUGUGGUUUGUGGUUGAAUAGAGGAUAGCAAAGCAAAUCCAAGUGAGUAACUUUCAUAUCCAAGAGAAGUUGUACUAUAAAAUCCUUGGAAAAAAUGAUAGAGACGUAAACUACCAAUCUUGCUGAUAUAACUAUCUAACAGAAGACAUUAAUUGAAAAGUCUAAUUCUUGAGGGAAAAAUGGUGAUAAUAGCAUUUCCCUAUGAUUCCGAGUACACUCUCCCACUUGUGAUCCUUUUCUCUCUA